rnacentral:lncRNA from 1 species
UUUCCCAAACUUAAACACAAGGAUGGCUCAAAUUGCACCAUACCGUUCCCUUCCGUAAGGACGGCAAAAUGUUCAAUUCUGAAUUUAUUAGUCUUUCUUUCUUCUGGCUCUGUCUCCCUCUCCAGCAAAUGUUUUUUGCGUCUCUCUCUCUUCUGCGCCUGCUCUCGGCGGCCAUGCAUGGGGCCUCCUCAUAGGUAAAGAAGGAAUCCUCCCAGGCCCGUCAAAUGGCCAGAAGCGAGCUAAGCGAUUCCUUCCCCCAAAUCGCUAUUUGGCGGUUAGGAUUAAGCGCAUGAAAAAAAAAAUCCAAGAAUCGCGGCAGGGCACACAUGGAGAAAAAAAUAACUGAAUCCGUCUAUUCGACUUCGAACGCAUCAUGACUAGGCGAUCGGCGUCUGCUUAGCUCUUAUGUCUCUCCAACUCACACGGGCG